rnacentral:hammerhead_ribozyme from 1 species
AGCCGAAACCCCUGCGUCUUGCAGGGGUCUGUGGGAGAUAGCCUACCCACACUGAAGAGGCAGGCCAUG